CUGAUAAUUAUUAACAUUUGCUCACUAUGUUUGAAAAUGGAUCCUGGAUUUUCUGCUUCAACCCGACUCAUCUCAAUAGAUUCCAUAUAAGCGCGUCGUGGGCUCACUUUCGUCGCACCAUCCUCCAUUAUCUCUACUUCUCAUUCUCUUUCGCGAGUAUAACUUCAGUAACCGUACCAACCACAAACCAGACCCAUAGACGCUCGCCACCACUUCUGGUCCAAUCAACAACUUCGUUUUUUAGGAUUCAGACAAAUUCAUAACAAGCAUGAGGUAUAAGAAGACUUGCCGAGCAUACCUUAAAUGGCGUCUUGUUCAACAUCAUCCAUUAAAGAAAAUUAAUAACAUGUCGUGUUCUUGAGAUUUAAGAUCAAAUUAAAUGGUGAGACUGCCUUAAUUACACUCAAUUGGCAAGUGUAUCGGUCGUGAUAUAGUAAAGUCGGUAAGACCAUGUAUCAAUCCAAGGACACAAUGGCGCGUCUCUCGAUACUAAACCUCUGUCGAGUCAUGAGACAAAAGGAAUGUUUGUAGGAAGUUGUCAGUUUUGCAAGAAGGUGUAUAAAAAGUCGCUAAUUCAAUCAGCGACAUACCUAAAAUCACUCAGUUAAUCAGUGGCCACCUAGAACCACCCUUUUGAUGUUGAAACCACCUAUAUGUGCAAAAAAUUAGAAAAAUCUUAGCGGAAUGUUACAAACCGAAAGCCAUUGAAAUCUUCACAUGAAACAAGUAGAUAAUUAGUGGUGCGAGAUGGAGAAAUUGUUCAUCUCGUUGUUGGCGAUCAAUUAGAGAACAAAUAGAUUUCGAAUAUGAUCUUCAAUUAGUUGUUGAAUUUAUGGAUUUCAGAAGUUGGUUCGAAAAUAGGAGACACUAAACUACUAUGUAUGCAUGCACCCCUCAUAUAAUGACUAACACAACUAAUUAUAUAACUAACUAUUAUAACGACUUUAACUAACUACGAAUAGAUAGGUGAAAGACCUGGCCACCAAGACUACAGUGAAAAUUGUGAAAAGUUUGGAUUUUUCUAUAGUAUAGCUGGCGCUUAUACCAAGGUUUGGGAACGAGAAGUUUGGAGUGUGUGUAACAAGGCUGCAGAAUCUGAAUAUUGUUGACAAUGAGCUCAGAUUUGAGUGGAAUAAAUGGGCACCGAUCAAAGUCAACUUUUUAGCUUGGAGGGUGGCUAGAAAUCGAGUAUCGACAAAGGUGGAAUUGGCGAGAACCGAGAAGACAUGUUCCAGUGGGUUCCUCUCAGCUGUGUUUUGUGUAAUGAUGUGGAGGAGACGGCGGAACAUCUCUUUAUUUAUUAACAUUUUGCUCACAAGAUUUGGGACCUUGUAUAACUGGUGCAUGUUCACACACAUGUGAGCGAGUCUCGAAGAUGGAAGACUGCAUUGUACACGAUCGUCCAGUCGACUAUUUGAUGUCUUUGGAAGUGCAGGAACAACUUUAUUUUUCAGCAAAGCCCUGCUAACUUUGGAACGGUUAUGGAGGAAAUUAAGGUUCUCCAAUUCUUGUGGCUGAAAAAUCGGUCUAAGGCGAGAGGUUUAACCUGGGAACAAUGGUUUUGAUUUGUCAGGUUUGGGUGUAUGAAUGUUUGUUUUGGUUUGGGUCUGAUGUAAUACUCUUUGGUGUAAUAUGUCGGGCUAACGUUUUUGUUGGCUCGUUUUAUAAGUAAUAAAGUAUGUUUUG